ACGAUAAUGCUUCAGAAACGAUAGUUUAGCUUUUGAAUUAGCAUCUGAAUUUCAUCCCUUCCUGAGAUUGUUACCACGAUGACAUGAGUUGGAUAAUCCAGAGCUGAUGGAAAUGUUUUUCUGGGAGUUUUCAGUCUCAGAAACAGAUGAGUUAAUUCUGAAUUCUGGUUUUCAAGUAUAGCUACAGAUUCUGUCUCCUCAACUCCUGCUCAGCCUGAAGGAAGUGACACAAAGUUUAUUUUCCUCAUACUAAGGGGGCAGGUGGGCGGCGUGGACACCUAAGUUUGUGAAUGUGAUAACGUAGGAGCUUCAAAUUGAUGCCAUAUGUGCAUCUGCCAAAAGUCUCGGAUGAGUUUGGAUCUGUGACCUCAAGGUGUCAAGGUCAGAGUAAGUUUUCUGAAAAUCUUCUCAAUGUGAUAACUUAAGAACACAGUGAUGUAGGAUUUCCAAAUUGAUACCAUAGGUGUCUCUACUAAGAGGCUGAGGAGUCGCGCUGCUGGUUGCCAGUGUUCUUCCUACAUUGCAUUGGCAUCAGUUUUUUAAUCACCUCUUGGCUGGUUUUGAGUCUGCAAUCAAAAGGCCAGUCUUUCUGUAAAGAGCAAUGUCCGUUCUUGCACCCAGACAUCACACAGAGGGGAUCCUUCAUUAUGAGGCAGCUGUCAAGUUCUGGUCUCUGUUUAAACCCAGGAUACUUUUUGUUUUGUAUUUUGUCACCUUAUUGGAGUUAUUAAUCAUUAGUCCUGCAUGUGUGAUUGCUGCCAUCUGCAUUUUAACAUUGUCAUAGACUGAUGGUAUUUGGAAAGGCUCCAUCCCUUUGAAAUGAACAAAUGAAUUAUUGUUUUAUUCCUGACUAAAAGUUAACCUGCCUGUUAUUACCCUGUGCUUAACUGUGAUUACGUGGUGAACGCAAACUCGAGGCACGUUGUUUCUUGUGUUGUGGAACUAAAACGUCUCAUAUUUGGGGGAUUUUCAGUUCAAAGUUGAGGUUGUUGUCACACAAUUCACGUUGAGCACUCAAAUGCAGCCAGUUGUAAGAGCAGAUGCUGCUGCUUCAUGUCUGACUAACACAAGUCAAAUGGAUUGUAAAGAACAGUGAAAGUUCUGUUCCUUUAAUAAUUGUUAUUUGGGACUGUGAGUCAGUAUGAGACCUGAGAAUUCAAGAUAUUUAUCUGCUGCACUUGUACACUUGUGUUAAAUUGGACAUGUGGACAAGCAGCAUUUGAUGAGCA